CCUCCCAUUAAUCUUCUCUAAAUCUUUGUAGUCAGAAUCUCCUCUUCUAUCAAUGAAUUGAAACACCUUUAUACGAUUCUACACACCACAUUGGUCAGCGAACGGCAAGUAUUCGUCUGUAUCGGUUUUUAUCAACAAUCAAAUUAUAACUCCAUAAAUAAUGUUUCUAUUAAUUUUGACGUCAUACUGAACCGAUGGCCAGCCUGGUGAAUAAAAAAGGAUAAAUUGAUUACAAAAGUUUAAAUAUUAAAAAAGUACAGGCGUUUAGGACCUUUGGAAUGUCAAUGACAGCAAACACGAUUUAGUAAGUGAUAUAACUGAUUCUAACAAUAUAACACGACCAUACAACUGACUCGAUUUUAUGAAGCGCACUCGCGUUUUCUGAAUGUAUGUAAGAUUAAAGAUUCUCACGCUCGAGAAAUACCUGCAACAAGACCGAACAACUCAUAAUAUUCAAUUAAAAUAAAUAUCUUGACUAAAACUUUCUUGACGUGUUAAAAAGAAUUUUUACAAAAAUUUUAGUAUGUUAAACAAUUUAUGUAGGAAUUCUAUUAUAAAGAUCUUUCAAAAAAUUAUGUAAUUCGUAAUAUUAGAGAAAUUCUACCUCGCGCAGUUUCGACUACCACAGACUUAAGCCCACUACACGGCAAGAGUUUCAGCUGCAUUUAAACACCUUUAUACAAUUCUACAUUCUAUACUUGUCAGCAAACGUAGAUAGACGAACAGCCAAAUUAGAUUCAUUAAAAUAGUGUUUAUAUUCAUUAUGCCGUCAUACUAAAUCGCAAACCGGCCUGAGAAACAAAGACGGAUGAAAUAAUGAUGCAAGAUUAAAUACCAAAAGCUACCAACGUUCAGGACCCACGCUAUUGGCAUUUUUCACAGCUUAGGAUACCUUACAACAUGCGUAAAUAAAUUUAGUCACUGAAACGUUGGGUUAAAAGAACUUGGCACAAACAAUGUUAAAUGAGAGCAAUCGCGAUUUAGUAAGUGAUAGCCUAUCCUACAACUAAUGCUGGCAAUAUAACACGUCCAUAACACUGACACGUUUUCAUUGUAAAUUUGCUCAAAGCAAACUCACGAGAACAUACUCAAAAAAUGAUCUCAAAGUUAGGAUAACGACGACCACUAAUUUCAUUUUAUUUAUUGUCACAAUCCAGAAUUAUUAAAAAUUUGAUGAAACAGAGUUUGCAAUGUAAGAGGAAUCGAACAUUUUUCUUCAAUAUCAAGAAACGAGUACAGACAUGCAAGUUACAUUGAGUUCACUUUGAAUUAAACUUUAUUGGAUAGUGUCACCUGGGGAUCUGAAACAUGUGCUGAGGAUGACUUGAGACAUGCGUAAAUAAAUUCAGUCACUGAACCAUUGGAUUGAGAGGAAAUUGGCACAAUGAAUGUCAAUAACAGCAAUCGCGAUUUAGUAAGUGAUAGCCUAUAAUUAAUGCUGAUAAUAUAAAACGACCAUAACACUGAGACGUUUCAAUUGGAAAUUUGCUCAAAGUCACGAAAACUCAAAGUGAAGCUACCGACGACUACUAAAAUACCAAUAGAUACUGACACUAUGUAUAUAUAGAGAAUAAUGGUAAUGCGCGUUAGUAAAUAUCAACUGACGCAGUUCCUGUUGAUUUGAUUGAGAAAUAACUAUGAGGUAUUGAAUUCCAAAUAGCUGAAUCUCGUGGAAGAAAAUCUCGAAGCAUAGAAUAUUUUGUCUGGUAUUUCACUGACUGUAAACGGGUGAGAAUUCACAGUAAACCGAA